CACCUCUGGUGUCUCCUCAUUUGCGGAUAAAUCUUUCGCCUUUUACUAAAGAUUUCCGUGGGGAGGCACAAUACGUGCGUCGGUGGCACAGUGAGAAACAUUUAUUCACGGAGAUUUUGGUAAGUUUG
rnacentral:snRNA from 1 species